AGAGUUUGAUUAUGGCUCAGGACGAACGCUGGCGGCGUGCUUAACACAUGCAAGUCGAACGAAGCAGCAGUGAAGGAGGCUUCGGCCAAUGGAUCUGUUGACUUAGUGGCGGACGGGUGAGUAACGCGUGAGCAACCUGCCUUUCAGAGGGGGAUAACGUUUGGAAACGAACGCUAAUACCGCAUAACGUAAUUUCGCUGCAUGACGGAAUUACCAAAGGAGCAAUCCGCUGAAAGAUGGGCUCGCGUCCGAUUAGAUAGUUGGUGGGGUAACGGCCUACCAAGUCGACGAUCGGUAGCCGGACUGAGAGGUUGAACGGCCACAUUGGGACUGAGACACGGCCCAGACUCCUACGGGAGGCAGCAGUGGGGAAUAUUGCACAAUGGGCGCAAGCCUGAAUGCAGCAACGCCGCGUGAGGGAAGACGGUUUUCGGAUUGUAAACCUCUGUCCUUGGUGAAGAUAAUGACGGUAGCCGAGGAGGAAGCCACGGCUAACUACGUGCCAGCCGCUGC
rnacentral:rRNA from 1 species